CCAGGAUCAUGCACCUCCUGACUGGGUGAAUAUGGGAAAUGAGCAAGAGUGUUCUGGGAGGACAGUGGUGGGCGUCAGCUGGGGAGAAGGAGGAGGUCACAGGUUUAAGCUCCUCAGGGAGCUGCAGUGUAAGGUACAUCAUUCCCAAAACAGUGACCUCUGUGCCAGCCCAAAGUCCCAAGUGAGGUGCCAUGUCACUGGGGUCCUGCUGGUGGCUGAAUCCCUCUUCUCCGUCCGUGGCUGCUUGCACAGUAGCACAAUGCUGCUGUGGGCAAUGACCUGUCCAGUGCAGCACAGACAUGUCAGCACCAUCAGAGCUGGCUCAAGGGUCCUAAACAAGAGUGCUCUUCAGCAGCUGCUCCAGCUGACUGUCUCAAUGCAAAGCUAUUACACUUUGCCACUGGCAGUAUGGGUACCCUGAAGAGCUUCUGGCUUUCCUUAAUUGAACAGAAGAAACUAAUUUAAAUUUUAAAAAAUAUAAUUAGUUUGACUUCCUCUACCAGGAAUUCUGUAAUUGAUACUAUGAAUAAAU
rnacentral:lncRNA from 1 species